CACGUAGGGCGCGAGCGUUGUCCGGAAUUAUUGGGCGUAAAGAGCUCGUAGGCGGUUUGUCGCGUCGGCUGUGAAAACCUGAGGCUCAACCUCAGGCCUGCAGUCGAUACGGGCAGACUAGAGUCCGGCAGGGGAGACUGGAAUUCCUGGUGUAGCGGUGAAAUGCGCAGAUAUCAGGAGGAACACCGGUGGCGAAGGCGGGUCUCUGGGCCGUAACUGACGCUGAGGAGCGAAAGCGUGGGGAGCGAACAGG
rnacentral:rRNA from 1 species